GACGAACGCUGGCGGCGUGCCUAAUACAUGCAAGUAGGACGCAGUUGCGAACGGGUGAGUAACGCGUAGGUAACUACCUAUUAGAGGGGGAUAACUAUUGGAAACGAUAGCUAAUACCGCAUACUAGUAGAUGGACCUGCGUUGUAUUAGCUAGUAGGUUGGGUAAAGGCCUACCUAGGCAACGAUACAUAGCCGAACUGAGAGGUGGAGCGGCCACACGGGGACUGAGAAACGGCCCAGAUUCCUACGGGAGGCAGCAGGAGGGAAUCUGCGGCAAUGGGGGGAACACUGACCGAGCAACGCCGCGUGAGUGAAGAAGGUUUUGGGAUAGUAAAGCGCUGGUGUUAAGGAAGCGGUACUUAACCAGAAAUGGACGGCUAACUACGUGCCAGCAGCCGCGGUAAUAC
rnacentral:rRNA from 1 species